AGAGGACCCAUCAGGUCGCUCAGAGCCCUCUCUGGGAUUGACCUAUAAAUGCUGAGGCAGAGAAGUUUUCUUUCUGCUAAACUGGAAGGAAGUAAAUCUGUAACAGCCAACAGCCACAUCUCUCCCUCCCUCAUUAGAGAGCCGCAGAAGGAAGCUGACAGCUAGAGGGAGAUAAAGCUAGACACAUAGAAGGGGAGCUGAUGCUAUCACCUGAGCCCUGGAUCCGGCUGUGCCUGAAGGACUUUCCCUGGCCUUCCCAGGCUUUGCCACUCACAACCAAAAGAGGCUUCACUAACACAGGCAUUGCUGCCUGGAGAAGAGAUGUCAUGAGAGACAGAUCCCACGAUGUGGAGCAGGCUGGGUCUCAAGCCUGAAAUCCCUCCCGUUGUUGUCACCAGUGACUUCGGCACCCCCAGGAGAAGAGUGUUUUCCCCAGAAGUUCUUAUGGGAAAAAAGUCUGAGUUUGUCCCCAGAGGAAGGGAAGAAGACUCUAAGAAGAAGGGCCCGCCCGGGACAGGUAAGUGUUUGAUGGAGCAAUCGGGUGAAAAUCUAGAACCAAGCGUGCUGCAGGGGAGAGGAACCAUAGAAGGGUCAGGGUGGGGACACACUGCCCAGCCCGGACGACCCGGUGUGCACCCACAGCUGGUGCCCACAGCAGCAGCGCCCUGCCCCGCGGGGGUGCCGGUGCCUGCCUCUCCCGCUUCUCUUCGAGGCUCACUACCCAGGGCCCCCGGGCCGCCAGGGAGGGGGCCACCUUACCUAGUCCUGGGGCUGUCGAUCCCGCUCCCUGGGGGAGAUCCAGGGCAGCCCCCGCCCCCCACCCCGCUCGCCAAGGGUGCCCUGUCACACGCAGUCCUGGCGGCUGCACCCGCAGAAACACUAAUUGGGAAGUGAGACAAGCAGAGCGCCUUUAAUGAGCUACCUUGUUGUAACUCUAACUGGUUGGCGUUAUUUACAGAGAUUCUGCUAAUGAGGUGCCUGUCAGAGGGGGAGCCCACGAUGGGGGCAGGGCGGGGAAGGCGGCCCAGCUGGAGGGAAGAGGGUAGACUCCGAGGAAGGGGGAAGGAAGCUCACCUCGGCUGGGCUCCUGGGCCAGAGCCCCUUUAGCCACGUGAUCUCACCCAGCGCCAGCCCCCCAGGAGGCCAGGUGAGGUGCGCAGGGAAAGAACCUACGGAAGCCACACGGGGCGCAGUCCAGGCUGCCCCUCAACCAACGCCCCUCGGGCACCUGCCGCAGGCAGAAGGCAGGUCGGCCCAGGGCCCAGGAAUCGAGAUGCAGAGGAGCACAGGUCUGUGGGAAAGCACCUUCUGGGAAGGAGGCCGCGCCCACCUGGCACUCACCUGGAGUCCAGAUCCGCUCUGGAGGGUGUUCCCCACCUGCCAUCUUCCCUUUUCUCCAGAGUUCACACGCCUUGAACUCCUUGAUCGCCAAGGCGAUCCCCUUGGGCCCGGGGUCUCCCCACCACCCCUCAGGCCAGGUAGCCCUGGGCUGUGAGUCUCCCUCCAGCAAGAGAGGAGUUUGCGCCUCCCCCGCUGCCCUCACAGUCUGUCUACCUUAGACGGGAGCGGCUUUGGCUGCAGUUGAAGGGAGUCGGCGCUGGGACUCAACCUGGAUCCUGAAGAUCCAGUCUGGGGUUUAGAGUACCUCGCUGUGGCUGAAAUAAGGAGAAAAAAGGACUCUGACCAUUGGAGUCUUAGUUUUUAAGCCUGUGAAAUGGGAUUAAUAAAAUCUGCCUUUCUGGAACAUCGUGGGAUCCUGAAGGGAGUCAUGAAAUCGCUUCAAAAACACUAAGGUGCCCAAGCCCAGUGUCAUUAUCGUUUUUUCUUAGCAGUGGGUAUCUGGGUGCUGAUGCUGAAACUAAGCUCUCCACCCUGAUAGGGACACUUGGCUGGCUUAUCGUCUUAUCCCACUGGGCCCCGAGAUCCCUCUUGCCUUCUCUGUUCUCACUGUCACAGCCCUCUUCUCUCCUACUACCUGUCAAGAUUGGCAUCUCUUUAAUUAUAAUGUCUGUGCGUGUCUUUAGGAGCCAUGUAAUUCCUCCUGACAGCCACCUAUUUAAAAUGAAAGUCAAACACUCAGAAUUUUGUUUAAGAGUUGAGUCUUGGGGAGAAAAUGCAUUAAUUGCUAAAUGUUGCUAAUUUCAUUCUGAUGUGGUAACAAAAAGAAUGAAUAUAUAUGUGUGUGUGUGUAUAUAUAUAUAUAUUCUCUCUGUAUACACACACACACACACACACAAGAGGACCAGUGAAACCAGUACAAGGGAAAGGAUGGGGUCAGAAUGUCAGAGCCAGAGGUUCAUCUCAGAGCUGGUCAGCCAAACCCCUUCUUCAUUUCACAGAUGAGGACACUGAGGCCCAGAGACAUUAAGUGACUCCGUGAAGGCUGCCCAAGCCUAGGCGGCAGAUCCAAGGCCAACUGAAGCCUGCAGGCUCCAGUGUCCUCCGUGCAGCAGCUGGUUGAUCCCGGGGAAACAAAAGCCGUGCAUUCCUUCUGCGUAUCAGCACUCAGGCCAUCUGGGGUGUUGCCCGCCCUGCAGGGCUGCUGUGUUUGCAAGUGCUGCCUGCCAGGGGUCCUUGUGCUGCACAAGGGGCCUGCAGAGACUCUCCUCUGAGGCUGGAGAUUUGUGCCUCGCUAGCCGGGAUAGUGGGCACAGACCCACUGAGCAGCCAUCUGCGGAAACUGAGUGGUGAGACACAGGUGCCAAGGGCCUUCGCCGGCAACCAAGACUGCCUUCCACAGGCCAGAGCUUGGGAAAGUGCCCAGUGGGCAAGCAGGGCAGCUUGCAUGGGCUCCAGCCCUGGCCCAGCGUGCCUCCGCAGCCUCUUGAUGAAGAAGGGCUGCGAGGGAAUCCAUGCGCCAACGUGUGGGCACCACUAUAAAGUGGAUGGAGCAUGAUUUCUGAACUCAGAGAGCCAUCAGCUCAGAUUCCUUCUUUGCUGGGCAAACUCAGUGAGCUGUUUCAACCUCUCUUGUGUUUUAGACCCUGCAUCUGGCCAGUGUAACUCACAGUGUUGAUCGUGCAGAGUUGGUUUGGGGGACUGCCGAGUGAAUGUGUGCCAUGUGCCAGCCCAGGGCUUCUCUCUACACCAAAAAGGCAGCAGAGGCUUAGACCAGCAAGCACAAAACAGGGACCCAAGGGCCUUGUUCAGCCACAUACAGAUCUGCACGAGCAGUUAUAAAGAUGUAAUUUGAAGGCACCCUGGACAGGGUCUGAGCUCCCCCAUGUGUCCCACACCCACUGUUCCAUGUAAGCUCACAGCCAGCCACUUCAUUUUUGUGCAUCUCCUGACUUUGCAGCCCUGGAGGGAAUCUUUCCUGCUUGCUUAAAAAGAUGAAAGUCUUGCCCACAUCCUUUCCCACUCCCAGGUAAAACCCCAUGUGUUCUCCAUCCCAACUCUGAUAACACGGCCAGACCACAUCCAGGUUCCCAUUCACCUGGGAGCACCCAGAGGGCAGGUGCCAUGUCAUAUCCCUACAUGAGCAGAGGUCAGCUCUGGAUAGAUACAAUCAUUCAACAAAUGGGGGUUUGUGUCUAGGCUCUAGGGACAUAGUUGUGAACAAUUUUGACAAGGGCCAAGUCUUUUCAGAGCUGAUAUUCUCGUGGGAGAGACAAACAAUUAACACUGAAGUCAACAGUAUACUUAAGAUGAAGAAGGGAAAAGAAGGGAAUGUGCUAGACCAGCAGGGGAGUGAGUGAGUAAGAAUGAGAAUUUCGGUUCAACCACACAUGAGCCUUUCAUAGUCUCAAAUAGGAAGAACAAUGAACAAGAUUCAGUGAGGCACUGAAUCCUCAAGCUUCAUGGUUCAACUGACUCUUUUAACCAGAAUCUGGCCCCUUGUGCUCAGCCCCACUGCUACCUCCCUGGACCAAGCCCUCAUCUUCUCUUGCCUGCAUUACUGCUAACAGCCUCAUGGCUGCUAUCCCCGGUGCUGCCAUUGACCCCUCUAUAACCAACUGCCAACACAGUACCCACAAGGAUCCUUUUAAAAUGUAAAUCAGACAAAACAUGAGAGACACCUAACUCUGGGAAACGAACAAGGAGUAGUGGAAAGGGAGGUGGGCAGGGGGUUGGAGUGACUGGAUGACAGGCACUGAGGGGGGCACUUGGCGGGAUGAGCACUGGGUGUUAUGCUAUAUGUUGGCAAAUUGACGUCCAAUAAAAAAAUUUUUUUUUAUUAAAAAAAUAAAGUAAAAAGUAAGUCAGAGCACCUUUCCUCUACACAACACCCGAUUGGCCCUGGUGCCAUUCUGAACAAAAGCCAAGGUCUUCCUAUGUCUUACUUAGAAGGCCCCAUGUGACCUGGCCCCAGUGGCCUCCUUGCUGUUUCUGGAAAUGCCAGGAAUGCUUCUGCCUCAGGAUCUCUGCAUGUGCUGUGCCCAUCCUCAUCCCUGUGGAGCCCACACAACAGCAAAAGCAGCAGCAAUAAUCCUAGCUCAAGCAGACAGGGCCGAGCCUGACAGCUCAGGUUCAAAUCCACGUCUGCCAUGUCCCAGUUGGCAGCCUUGGGGAGGGCGCCUGACCUCUCUGUGCUCAGUCUCCCCAUCUGUAAAAUCAGUGUACUGCUUCUCCU
rnacentral:lncRNA from 1 species